ensembl:lncRNA
AAAAGGCUUCCUGCCAAAGGCUAAAACUGCCAAAUCCUCAUCCUUGUCUGGAAACACAGGCGGUAGUAGGUUAUAUUCCUUGUGAAGUUAUCCACCUGGCUACCCUCUGUUCCCAGUCUCACAACAGCACUGCUUUAAUGGCUGAUGCGUUCUGUCACACUUUUUUUGUGGACAAAGAGCACCUUUUCUGUAGAGAAGGACCAGAGAAGAAGAUGGAAAGACCUGGGAGUCCUGCACCUGGUACUGAGGUGAGAAGACAUCGCCAGGAGAAGGAAUAUGGAUAACAUAGAUGCCAAAACCUCCAUGUCAGAGCAGCAAGAUCUAUCUGUGGUAUUUGCAGUCACGUAAUUGCUUUUGCUGUUUUUCUGUAUUUUACAUUACAAAGGAGGUUCAAAAUAUAUCUGAAGUAGAAGUAUGUGCCAAACAUACAGCAGAAAAAUUCACUGAAAGAAAUAGAAAUAGAAAAAAACACGCAAACCACAGCAUGGGGCAAUCUUCCCAAGCAACAGCAGAAUCUAAUCAGGGUUGCCUAAUUUUUUUCCCACUCAAAACAAACGCUUUCAAAUUAGAAGGGUUUAAGACUGUAGGAAGGACAGACUAUUCACACCCCACCUCCUUAUUUUAAUAUUAUCUUUUUUUACACAACUUUGGAAACCUAGCAUGCCGACCUUGGUUAAUUCCUGUGAAUCAUACAAGCCUUAAUUGGUUUUGGAAGGGUCUCCAGAUCUCUCUAGAAAAGGUUAAGCAUUAUUUAUUUGCCUUCGUUACUAUCCAAACCUAUGUGAUUUCUGAACAGGUUUGACAUUCAAACUAAUUAAGGAUAAGCAAAAGAGGAAAAAAGCCUUUAUAUGAGUUCUAAACAAAAAUUUACAAAAGAAAGAAAUGUAAAGCAGUAAUGGCAAAAGCCAUAUAUUAUAUAACACCCCUGCACCAUUCUUCUUUAGUAUAGAAGAGCUGCAGAAUGCCUCUUGCUAGUUCCUGUGUUUAUGAGAUCCAAUCUGAAAGAGGGUAAGAGUUGUGUCGGUUCUUUUCUAGCUUUAAGGCACAUGGUAACCGUAUCGUUGUCAUUAUUUUCUAAAAUAAUAGAUGAGUUUUGAUUUUGUUUCAUUUACAAGAUGUCAUUCAUAUAUGAAAUAUUCUGAAAGUACAGCUCUUUCUCUACCAAAGUGUGAGAACUAGGUUCCUGCAUGGUGAUCUCCCUGCAGUCAUGGCCUCCUCAACCCCUCCGCUUGCUGCAAAGAACGGGAGACGUCUGAGGUGUUGAUUAACAAACUAAAAGGAAGGAUUCCUCACUAUGUCUGAAUGCUCCUUCUCAUCAUUUAAAAGAAGUCAGAGGGAACAGGAUGAGGAAAGAGAUGAGUAUACUGUUGCAGUUUAGUACCAGUGUUCCCAUCGACUCGAUGUUUUCUGAAUCUGAAUUCUACAACAUGGUGUGGAUUCAGCAAGAAAUGUCCUGAGAAAUGGUGGAUCAGAAGAUAAAAAAUGGCAGUGACAUCCACCUUUGUGCCAGGCACAGUGCCGGUACUCCAGAGCCACACAACCACUGUCUCCCACCUCACAUUCAUGCUUAUAAUUCCAGACAUGCUUAAUGACGUAUAGCAAUGGUUCUUCCCCCAUACAAUGCUAAAAACAACUUCCACUUGUAUUUUCAAUUAUGUUAUUUUUCACUUAGACAUGUCUGAAACUUCAGCAACAACAAAUCUUUAACUUAUUCCCUUCUUUUUACUUCGGGUUGAUUUUGUUACUGGUUUUUGUUUGUUUGUUUGUUUUUCUUUUUCUGUCUUCACAACAUACUGCAGGUUUGAGUCUCUCAGAGCCAGAAAGAAAUCGGUAUCAAGACGUGCUAAGAAUGUAUUGUAGUUACUAAGGAAGUGGUUUCCCAAGCAACAGUAACCACAUGAAAUUCGACAGAAUUUCUUCCUUUGCUACUAUAUCAUGUUUGAAGAUUUCAAAGAGCCAGGAUGUGGGUAGCAUAAGUGAUUUUGUCCUUGUUAAACAGAAGCAGAUACAGUAAUAUCCUUGUCCUUACUAAAGAAAGGGUUAAAUUCAUUAAGUUACAAUUUUCCUGGUAGCAGAAAAAAAUGUGGAUGUGCCAAAUAGUCCUGCAGCAUGUGGGCAGAUGCUAGAGGCAACAUUCUCAGUUGUUACAUACUCAGUGGUGAUAUUUACCAUUCAAGAAAGCCAUGCCAACACUUUGGUUUGCUCCAGACACUGGAAGAGACAUUUACCAGCUUGAUGAUGUCAAAAAGUGUAGGAAACUUGCACUUGCUUGAUAUUAGUAGAAGGAUCAGAACCAAAGGUAAUGAAGUUGCAUUGUCCUAACUUCUCUGCAGUGGUGUAAACAAAAUGGAGUCAGCUGGGCAUCAAUCAAAGAAUGCAGUGUCAUUGCUAUUCUGUUUUGAUCAAGAAAUGAAAAUAACACAGUAGAUGUUGCCCUCUGAAAGUGAAUUUAAUGCUUGUUCUUAGAAGGGAAUUGGAAACAACAGGUUCUAUGGGUUAACAAGCAGUGCAAUUUAAUAUGUUUUCUCGAUAGAAAAUGUGAAUAAUUUCUACCUGCUUCUGUGUGCUGAGGUUCAUUGAGUGGUAAGGCACCACAGAGGCACUGUUAAUAAAGAGCUCAAUCCAGCAAGACAAAGAAAGAGAUGACUCAUUUUUCAUUUGAGUUUCAGGUACUAAGAAAAUCAAAAUUUCUUUCAAAAAUUUGUCUUUAAGAAGUGAUUCUUUAUAUCCACUUCAUGUUUAUGGUGAAAUUUAAAAAAGAAAAUGUGGUGGUGUGCAUGUGAGGCAAAUCCCAAGGGAAGGUAUGUAUUGAAGGAGGUGUGUUUCCAUAUGUUAUUAAGGUUCGUGCUUUGUAGGUACACUUACAUCUUUUCUGAAAACUUAGAUUUCUGCUUUGACCAGAGUAAGAAUUUUUUUACAAUUGUACAAACUCCUACUUAUCUUCUGGAUUGCAGGUCACCAUGCAUAAUGAAACAUUUGAGCUACGGAACCUUUUAAAGUAUACGAAGAAACAAUUAUGUGUAUUAUGAAACUGUUCAGCAGUAUGGAUUGGGGCCAGCUCUGUGCAUUCCCAGAUGUAAUGGACAUAAUUGCAGGUCUCCAAGCACAGACACUGAAGUGAAUGACUGAGGGGAUUUGGGGGCUUCACUGGCUCUGGAUCUGUAUCAGCAGUGCCAGAAACAAACUGGCUCAUUAAAAGCUUUAAUCUUAUUUCACUUAUUACCCUUUCACUUAUUUCUACCUUUGUGAACUGCUUCAUGCAAAGAACUGCCUUUUUAAACCAUCUCUCAAACCCUCUUCAAGUUGCAGAACUAAUAUUCUUAGCUAACAAGCUCUUAGUUAAGUAAGUGGUUAGAAAACUUCUAAGUCCUUCAGAAGGCUUCCUUCCAACACAUCCUCCGUAGACAUACUAAUGUGUUUGUAUUUCUGUGAUGCAUUAAGACAUCUAAAAGAAUACUGCUUGUAGGCAGGUAAAUGCUAUAAUUAGAAAAAAACAAGUUGAGUCUCCAAAUAAAGUCAUCUGUUUCUUUUAAAAAUACAGUAGAUGCACUAUAAUGUAGGAACUUAAUUUAUUUAAAUAAAGUUUGUUUGUAUUCAUGCACAGAACCCAACUAAAUCAAAUGUCUGCAGCUUUUGUGCAUGCUUGCAUUUUAAGCAGUUGCAUCUAAUCAGAAUAGUUAUCAUUUUAAUAGAGCUGGCGCACAUUAAAAAGAGCAUGGAUGGGGGGAUGUUACCCUCCCCCUCUACUCUGCCCUGGUGAGGCCACAUGUAGAGUACUACGUCCAGUUCUAGACUCCUCAGUUCAAGAAAGACAGAGAGAGUCCAACAAAGGGUCAUAAAGAUGAUGGGGAACCUGGAGCAUCUCCUUUCUGAGGAAAGGCUGAGAGACCUGUGACUGUUCAGCCCAGAGAAGACUGAGAAGGAAUCUUACCAAUGCCUAUGGAUAUCUGAAGUGUGGAAGUAAGGUGGAUGGGGCCAGGCUCUUUUCAGUGGUGCCCAGUGACAGGAUAAGGGGCAAAGGACACAAACUGGAACACUAGAAGUUCCAUAUGAACAUGAGGAAAAACCUCUUUGAAAGUGACAGAGCACUGUAACAGGCUGCCUGGAGAGAUUGUGGAGUCUCCUUCUCUGGAGAUAUGCAUAUCUGCCUGGACGCCUUCCUGUAUGACCUACUGUAGGGAACUUGUUUUAUCAAGGAGAAAGCUGCCUCUGCCCUCGAAGGCCUCUCAUUUUACCAGGAUGUAUGCAGUGGACACAGACCUGAUAAGAAAUUAUGAGGUUGCAGUUUCUACUGGAAUAAGAGUUCAAUGCAGUCACUUACCCAGACUUCACUUCAUCAUGUCUGAGCACUUACAGCUAUAACUUGUGAUCUUUCUGGUUUAUUUGGAGGCACAGCAAGCCAGCUCCUGUACACAGAGGCAUCCUUAUAUGCUUUCUAAUGUGAUGCUGCUGUGUGGGAUAUUGAGAUCACAGUGAAGGUCGCAGUGCAAAUAUUUACAUACAGGCAAGUCUUAGUGUAUGACUCUCUGGAGACCCCUACAUAAAGGCUGUGAAUCUGAUUAGAUUCCAAAAUGGAAGAGCAAGACAUCUUGUUUUUGUCCAUACUCUUGAAAAUGUUAUCCUAACCCUCAAGAACAUUAAGAACAGUAAGGCUAUGAAGAGAUGGAGAAGAACAACUGAAGUUCCAUAAGAAGCCAGUAAGUUUAACAUUCUGACUUUUGGCAUUAUCAGUGAAGAGUAUAGAAAAGGUAUGGGAACCUUGCAUUCUGGUGCAACAAAAUGUCACUGUAUUUGAACUCUCUUAAUUUGGACUGUGAAAAGAGCACUGCUUAAUGGCAUAAUCUGAAGACAAUCACGUGUAGUUUUGAAACAUAAUUCCUUUAUUUGUAAAGUGUUAAGGGGAU